GACGAAGGGGGGCUAGCGUUGUUCGGAAUUACUGGGCGUAAAGCGCGUGUAGGCGGUUGUUCAAGUCAGGUGUGAAAGCCUUGAGCUCAACUCAAGAAAUGCACUUGAUACUGGAUGACUAGAGGACCGGAGAGGAUAGUGGAAUUCCCAGUGUAGUGGUGAAAUACGUAGAGAUUGGGAAGAACACAAGUGGCGAAGGCGGCUAUCUGGACGGUUUCUGACGCUAAGACGCGAAAGCGUGGGGAGCAAACAGG
rnacentral:rRNA from 1 species